rnacentral:rRNA from 1 species
UACGUAGGGUGCGAGCGUUAAUCGGAAUUACUGGGCGUAAAGCGUGCGCAGGCGGUUUGUUAAGACAGGUGUGAAAUCCCCGGGCUUAACCUGGGAAUGGCGCUUGUAACUGGCAAGCUAGAGUGUGUCAGAGGGAGGUAGAAUUCCACGUGUAGCAGUGAAAUGCGUAGAUAUGUGGAGGAACACCGAUGGCGAAGGCAGCCCCCUGGGAUAACACUGACGCUCAUGCACGAAAGCGUGGGGAGCAAACAGG